UCUAGGAAGGUAGCAUUCAACCUUCAGUCUUGUGCUGAGCUUCGUGGUCCAGCCUGUCCCAUGCAAAUACAGGAGAUGGGAUCUCACCAAAUCCUCUGAUGUGUUUGGAUGUGUGCUUCAGAGGCAGGCUGGGGAGCAAUGAGGAACCCACCACUUCAUCUUGUAAGAUGCAGGCCUCUGUCCCUUGUGCCCUGGCCUAUAUGGAAGGAUGAUCUGGGCCCAUUUAUUAUUAGUUUUCACUAAGAAGCGUCCACAAGCAGUCUGAGGCAAGCAAAGCUGCUGAAAUGGGGAAUGGACUGUUGAUCUGCCUUUCCAGGUUUGGCCCACACAAAGCUUUCAGGAGAUAAAGUCUACUGUGAUCAGGGCUGAUCUAGACUGACAGAGCAAUGCUGAGCUUUAUCCAGAUAAACAGAGACUGGCAGGUUUAAAGCUGAUAGAAACUGAUGUUACUACAACAGUGGUUGGGAAGAUAUGCUCAAGUAGGUGUUUGAAUUUCCAGCUGGGCCCAAAAUCAAGAUCAAAACCAAAUACACUGUGGAUGCUGAAGAGGUAAACAUAAUGAAGCUGAUAUCUCCACCCUGAAUCUUGAGACAGGCUGAUGUGAUCAUUUUAACCACACACAAGCUGAGGAUGCAGAUAGUUCUCCACAGUUUGGUAUGUCUUCCACAUCCUCUGUUGGUGGGACAUCCACCUGUUCUGGCUGGAGUCUGUGCCCUGAGAUGGU